rnacentral:lncRNA from 1 species
AUGAGCAACAUGACAAUGCACACUUCCCUCAUAACCAACCUAUCCCUGUCAGCGGAACUCAUCAACGGCACCUCACGGAGCCCUGAUUGGCUGUUCUUCCUGCACAUUCCCCAGACUGCCAUCGCGGGAUUGGUCCCGUACAUCCUCCUCUCCUUCCUAUUGGCCUUCUGCUCGGCCACGGUAAACGUCAUCAUGCCCUUUGUGUUCGGCGCCAUCACUCUGACGCUGCUGUUUGAGGCCGUGGUAUUGGGAGUGUCCUCCGCCUGGCCGCUAAUCGUCUCCGGUAUUCUAGAACUCCUCAUCCUUCUUUUCGCCAUGUACGGCAGCGCAGCCCUGCUGGUGAAAGGCCUGGCACAGCGCUACGUCUUGAAGGGAUUUGGCAACCCCCUGUUUAAUGUGCUCCUACUGGGAACCAAUCAAACUCCCAAGGCCAGCGCUCAGAGCCUGGGACAGGAGAAGAAGAAGAACACAAAGUACGCUGAACCCCAAGCGCUCUGCUUUUUUUGUGACACCGUGUCUCCAUUCAUCCUGUUGUUCUACAGCUUCAGCUACGUCACGUCCUUUUCCCUGGGGGCCGUGUGGGUGUCCAUAAUCUCUGCUGCUCAGCUCCUCUCCAGCUACUACGCUCACCUGCGGCAUGAUGGCUACCUGGCCAUCAAGGCUGGGCUACAUGCCACCUACUGGCUGACCAAGGCGUGGGAGGAGUUUGUGUUGUCACCCCUGAUCAUGUCGGAGCCGAAGGUAGAGGUGGCUGCUGGGAGACAGGCAAUGGUUGGUGAUUGGUUCUUUGUGACGGCAGCGCUGCUCCUUUUAGUGGUUAGUCUCAGUAAUGACGCCCUGGAGGUGGCCCACAAUGCAUUGUUCCUGCUGCUGUCCGUGUCCACGGUCCCCCAGAUCCCCCUCCAGGGGUACUACAUGUUCUUCGGGGUGUCCUGCUCCCUGUUUGCCGCCGCCUCUCUUUACGGGACGUUCUGCCGCCUCAUCAACUCCAUUGCUGAGAAGAUUCUGAUCCCAGUGGGUCCUCAGCUCGUCUCUUCUGACCGCCUCCGCUCCGUCCUGUACUGCUGCUCUUCCCCGGCGCUGUCAUUAUCACCACCGACAAUUCAGAUCACUGACACUCUAUUCUACCUGACCAACGGGGUGGCAGCUCUCUCGGCACUCCACUCUGCUUCGUCCAGUCAGAGUGGGGUGUUCCUGCGGCUGAGCGUUCCGUGGGUGCUGGUGUCAGGAGCGUUGGUACAGGGGUUGGUCAGCAGACUGCAGGUCAGGGGAGGACAGAGAUUUGGGUCUGUCAUCCCAUCCUUCUACAUGGUUGUCUGGGCUACAUGGACAUGGUACCGCUUCGCAGGCCUCAUGCUACAGAUCUCUCCAGCAGGGUCCUUAGGGUUCACAGCUGGAACCAUCGCUUUCCUGGUCAUCAACGCUUUCCUCAUGCUCAUCGGUCAGUCUCUUCAUGAAAUGACCAAAAUCUACCUGUUCACCUGCUUCAACAGAUAA